UCCUGCGCUUGCCUCAUAGGUCUGUGCACCUGGUCCUAUGUAGGAACCUGCUGUCCUCUUAGCUGCUGAAUUCGCAGGAAGCAGGUUGGAGCGCAGACCUGGAGGCCGGAAGAUGUGCCCCUGCUACUUCAGGGCUCAGAAGAAAAAAAUGACAACCUACAGGAUGAGCCCAACCACUGGUCUGGCUAACCAGAGCCGUUCAGAUAAUGCAGAGCUGAGUGGAAGAUGAAAUAAAUGCCUCUUCAGCACCA